CCCUAAGCCAGUGACUGGUGUACUGACAAGAAGAGGAAAUUUGGACACAGGCACAUACAGAGAGAAAAUCUUGUGGAAGCUCAGAGAGACGACGGCCACCUACAAGCUGAGGAGAGAGGCCUCUGGAGAAACCAACCUUGUCCACACCUUGAUCUCAGACUUCCAGCUUCCAGACUGUCAGACAAUCACUCUGCUGUGAAGAUUCGUCCUGAGCUAACAUCCAUUGCCAAUGUUCCUCUUUUUGUAUGUGAGCCGCUGCCACAGCAUGGCCACUGAUAGAAGAGUGGUGUGGGUCCACGCCUGGGAACCAAACCUGGGCUGCUGAAGUGGAGCAUGCCAAACUUAACCACCAGGCCACUGGCCAGCCCUAGAUCUUUAUUUUAGAAAGAAAAUUGAGAAAAG
rnacentral:lncRNA from 1 species